AGAGUUUGAUCCUGGCUCAGAACGAACGCUGGCGGCGCGUUUUAAGCAUGCAAGUCGAACGGUAGCAGGGUUUCGGCCCUGUGAGAGUGGCGAACGGGUGAGUAACACGUAGGUAAUGUGCCCUGAAGUUGGGGAUAGCUCAUGGAAACAUGGGGUAAUACCGAAUAUUCUCUGUUGUUUUUUGCGGCAGAGAAAAGAGGCUUUCGGGCCUCGCUUUGGGAUCAGCCUGCGGCUUAUUAGCUUGUUGGUGGGGUAACGGCUCACCAAGGCGAUGAUAAGUAGCCGGCCUGAGAGGGUGAUCGGCCACAUUGGGACUGAGAUACGGCCCAGACUCCUACGGGAGGCAGCAGCUAAGAAUCUUCCGCAAUGGGCGCAAGCCUGACGGAGCGACGCCGCGUGCAUGACGAAGGCAGAGAUGUUGUAAAGUGCUUUUAUGGGUGAGGAAUAACAGAGGCAGGAAAUGGCCUUUGGAUGACGUGAACCCAUGAAUCAGCUCCGGCUAAUUACGUGCCAGCAGCCGCGGUAAUACGUAAGGAGCGAGCGUUGUUCGGAAUUAUUGGGCGUAAAGUGCGUGCAGGCUGUCUGUUAAGUCUGAUGUAAAAUCGUGCAGCUCAACUGCAUUGCUGCGUUGGAAACUGGCAGGCUCGAAUUCGAGAGAGGAAAUUGGAAUUCCUGGUGUAGGGGUGAAAUCUGUUGAUAUCAGGAAGAACACCUAAGGCGAAAGCAAAUUUCUGGCUCUGAAUUGACGCUGAAGCGCGAAAGCGUAGGGAGCAAACAGGAUUAGAUACCCUGGUAGUCUACGCCGUAAAUGUUGUACACUUGGUGUUGGCA
rnacentral:rRNA from 1 species